rnacentral:rRNA from 1 species
GGUCCCAAGGGUUCGGCUGUUCGCCGAUUAAAGCGGCACGCGAGCUGGGUUCAGAACGUCGUGAGACAGUUUGGUCUCUAUCCUCUGCGCUCGUCGGAACCUUGAGGAGGCCUGCCCAUAGUACGAGAGGACCUGGGUGGACGAACCUCUGGUAUGCCAGUCGUCACGCCAGUGGCGCGGCUGGUUGGCUACGUUCGGAAGGGAUAACCGCUGAAAGCAUCUAAGCGGGAAGCCUGCUCCAAGAUAAGGGUUCCAUGGAUCCUCGGAUCCUGUAGUCCCCAUGCAGAACACGUGGUUGAUAGGCCGGACGUGGAAGCCCCGCGAGGGGUGGAGCUGACCGGUACUAACGGACGA